GAUGGCAGCAAAUACAUGCGCUGGGAGGUCAGCCUAGGUAACCUCAACAGGGAAGCGUCCUUCCAAGGGAAUAAAGUAGAGCAUGGCUUAAAGAGAGCUACUUUGGACGAAAAGAGAGGCAAAGUGAGACAGAAAACACCUUCCCGAGAAGAGGAAAAGACCCGGUAGCCACCCAGCCCACCUUUAUUAGAUUUUCAUAAAUCGAGGGUGUAUUUUUUCCAUUUAGAAAGGCUACGUGUGGUGGGGUUUUCCUCCCCCUGAGCAGACAAUGAACUGUGCAGGAGAGCAGUGGUUUUUCCACCGCCUAUUGUGAAAAUAUUUUUAAAAAUCAAGCUGCGUUUGCUGUGAAGAAAUAGUCUUCAUACCCGAAUAAUCUCGAGGACGGCACGAUGACCAUAUUCAUUUUACAGGAGAACUC